CUUAUCAAUAUUAUUGCUGGAAUUAGUAUUGUUCAUUAGUCAUUUCACACACAAUAAUACGUUUUCAAAUUUAAUAAAACAUGUUUAUAGUAGGUGUAUGUCGAGUGUAUAAAAGAAAGUUCGGUCCUAGACAGUAUGGAAAUCGAUCAGAUACCGUUGUUGAAAAUGCUCUUAACAAAAUAAUUAAUUGUGAACUUUAAAUAUUAGCAGCAAGAAAACAAUAUAAAAUAACCCAUGAUAUAUUACACGACAGAUAUCAUGGUAAACAUGGUAAUAAACCGGGAGGCCAACCAUGAACCAAUAUGUAGUGAAUAUUUACUGAAGCUGAGGAAAAAGUAUUAUUGGCUACUAUUGCUAAAUGUAGUAAUUGAUGUUUCCUUUUAACCAUGACUGACUUCAGGUAACUAUUAAUAUCCUUGUUAAAUAUAAUCUAUAAAACACAAAAACUGUUUCUACUUAUGACCAUUAUAGAUUUUAAAAUCAUCCAACCCAACAUGCCCCAAACCAGUCUCAUUAGAAAGGCAAUAAUGCAAAGAUGGUUUUAGACCACUAAAACAACACAUUGAGCAUAUUCAGUCCAUUAAUGAAGUCGAUUUUUGACUUUUCCCAUUCAACAAUUUUCUCGAAUUUUAAUAUUUAUUUUUUUUAUAUAUUUUUUAUAGAUAUAGAUUAUUCACAAACUCACCAAAGAGUGGCAUUACUCACAAACAAAUUAAAAACAAAACUUGUGCAAUUUGUGCAUCACAUUUAAUUAUUUUGACCGCAUUGGUGCGAAGUUGGCACAUACUACUGACUGUCAACACAAAAACACUGAUCUGUCAUUCUCAUCAGAAAGUUUUAUCAUUUGUGUUUAUCACGUAGAUCAUGUCAAGUAAUCAAAUUAGGAAAUAUUAAAAACCUCAUAAAUUGUAUUAAAAAUAUUUGUUUUCAUGAAAUUUGGUGGUGAUUUUAAGUACUGUUAUCAAAAAUGCCACUGAAAAGAGCUGUUACUGGAAGAAAUGCACCAAAUGCUAAACGAAAGAGAACCAUAAGUGCAGCCGAAAUGCCUGAACAACAAGAAGUAUGUUUGGCGUCAAACCAACUGAAAUAUUAAUAAUCAGCUGAAACUCCUCAAUAGCAUAAAAAGUGGCUUGAAGGUAAUUUAUCAUGAACGGCUCAAUCGAUUUUCAGUUGGUUGCAUUCAAUAGUUAAUAAACUAGAUAAUAAUAAUAAAAAAUAAUACUUUUUUCAGAUUAGUGGCAGUUAUUUUUGGACAAAAUGGGUAUUGUCUAAACAUUUAAGGACAAUCUACCGGGUAAUGACUGGACUGAAAGUUUAUUUAAAAGAAAAAUUAUAUUUAUUAUAUGUUUAUUAUUUAUAAUUUUGUAUUUAAAAAUAUUAGAUACCAUAUAAUUAUGAUAAUUUAUUUUUAUAAAGUUAGUCAAUUAAAAAAAAAAAUAUUUUAUAUAUAUAUAAAAUUAUUUUAUUUAUUAUUAAUUUUAUUUUAUUUUAUUUUAUAUUCAUACCAUUACCAUUAAUUUAAAAUACAAAUAAAUGAUGGUACCAAAGUCAUCUUAAGUUGGUAUAACAUUGAUAGCUAUUUUAAAAAAGUAAUUUAAAAAAAAAAAACGAUUGUUGAAAAAAUUUAAUUAAAAUUUAAAGAUAGUAUUAAAUACAAACUUGAGGCAACAUAUUUAUUUUGAGAUUUGUAA
rnacentral:lncRNA from 1 species